GUCUACAGCUACGCCACCCCGAACACGCCUGAUCACGUCUGAUCUCGGAAGUUAAGCAGGGUCGGGCCUGGUUAGUACUUGGAUGGGAGACCGCCUGGGAAGACUCGGUGCUGUAGGUG
ensembl:rRNA 5S_rRNA 5S ribosomal RNA